GUGGGGAAUAUUGGACAAUGGGGGGAACCCUGAUCCAGCCAUGCCGCGUGUGUGAAGAAGGCCUUUUGGUUGUAAAGCACUUUAAGCGAGGAGGAGGCUACCGAGAUUAAUACUCUUGGAUAGUGGACGUUACUCGCAGAAUAAGCACCGGCUAACUCUGUGCCAGCAGCCGCGGUAAUACAGAGGGUGCGAGCGUUAAUCGGAUUUACUGGGCGUAAAGCGUGCGUAGGCGGCUUUUUAAGUCGGAUGUGAAAUCCCUGAGCUUAACUUAGGAAUUGCAUUCGAUACUGGGAAGCUAGAGUAUGGGAGAGGAUGGUAGAAUUCCAGGUGUAGCGGUGAAAUGCGUAGAGAUCUGGAGGAAUACCGAUGGCGAAGGCAGCCAUCUGGCCUAAUACUGACGCUGAGGUACGAAAGCAUGGGGAGCAAACAGGAUUAGAAACCCCGGUAGUCC
rnacentral:rRNA from 1 species